UGCACACCGCCCGUCACACCAUGAGAGUUUGUAACACCCAAAGCCGGUGGGGUAACCUUUUGGAGCCAGCCGUCUAAGGUGGGACAGAUGAUUGGGGUGAAGUCGUAACAAGGUAAC
rnacentral:rRNA from 1 species